rnacentral:rRNA from 1 species
UACGAAGGGUGCAAGCGUUACUCGGAAUUACUGGGCGUAAAGCGUGCGUAGGUGGUUCGUUAAGUCUGAUGUGAAAGCCCUGGGCUCAACCUGGGAAUAGCAUUGGAAACUGGCGACCUAGAGUGCGGUAGAGGGUAGUGGAAUUCCCGGUGUAGCAGUGAAAUGCGUAGAGAUCGGGAGGAACAUCUGUGGCGAAGGCGACUGCCUGGACCAGCACUGACACUGAGGCACGAAAGCGUGGGGAGCAAACAGG